AAUACAUCGAAAAAUGAGUCUUGGAACUUCACCCUCUACACUGAAAUCAGAACUGAUGUCUGGCCUUGUGUCUCUUUGGAGUUGACCCAACUUUCUUGGAGUAAUGCACUUUGUGCUUUCAUCUCCAGUUUUGGAGAAUAUGGAUGAGGAACAACCAUAUGCCCAGCUCGGAGGAUUUCUUGUAAAACUGUUGGAGAACCAGUGUGGCAUAGUACUUUGAGUGUUGGACUACAAUUUUGGAGACCAGGAUUCAGUUUGCAGCUUGAAUGUACACAACGGAUUGAAAAUGUCCAGUUAAACACAUCUCUUUACAUCCAACAGGAAGAAACACAGGUGGCUUUUUGGAAUAGCCAUUAAGUUCCAGGAUGGAGCCCGGGGUUUCAGGGCCCAGAAUUAUGCUGUGCCCAAAACCCUCAGAGCCACCCCAUACAGUCAUUCCAUGCUUCAAGACAAGCAGGCAGGAUUGCAGAAGUGUCUGGCGAUAUCUUCAUAGUCAGACAUGAGAUGAUGAUGUUGAUGCAAGUGUGAGCGUGCAGAGUAAACUCGGAAGCUUGUGUGAAGAUAAACAACGGCAAGCUGCUGGAGCAUGCCAGGAAAACAGCUGCUAGAUGAAAGCACACCGAAGCCUGGCUUAUCUCCGAAGAGGCACUUUGUUUAUUUGUUGCAUAGACACACGUGAGAACAAUUAUCAACACUAUACACCAACUACAACCUCCAACAAACUGUACAAAGGGACAUCUGGGCUUAUAUACACAUUUGCCAUGCGGUGACCUUGCCCAGCCCAUUCCUGAACAAGUUCCUGUGCAUCUUGGAAUACUUCCCCCCUUGCAAAGAUGACACAGUAUAUUUACAUCUUGCUUCUGGCACACAC